ACGGAGGGGGCUAGCGUUAUUCGGAAUUACUGGGCGUAAAGCGCACGUAGGCGGAUUGGAAAGUUAGAGGUGAAAUCCCAGGGCUCAACCUUGGAACUGCCUUUAAAACUAUCAGUCUAGAGUUCGAGAGAGGUGAGUGGAAUUCCGAGUGUAGAGGUGAAAUUCGUAGAUAUUCGGAGGAACACCAGUGGCGAAGGCGGCUCACUGGCUCGAUACUGACGCUGAGGUGCGAAAGCGUGGGGAGCAAACAGG
rnacentral:rRNA from 1 species